rnacentral:rRNA from 1 species
AAUGGGCGCAAGCCUGAUCUAGCCAUACCGUGUGAGUGAUGAAGGCCUUAGGGUCGUAAGGCUCUUUCGCCAGGGAAGAUAAUGACUGUACCUGGUAAAGAAGUCCCGGCUAACUCCGUGCCAGCAGCCGCGGUAAUACGGAGGGGACUAGCGUUGUUCGGAAUUACUGGGCGUAAAGCGCACGUAGGCGGACCAGAAAGUAUGGGGUGAAAUCCCAGGGCUCAACCCUGGAACUGCCUCAUAAACUCCUGGUCUAGAGUUCGAGAGAGGUGAGUGGAAUUCCGAGUGUAGAGGUGAAAUUCGUAGAUAUUCGGAGGAACACCAGUGGCGAAGGCGGCUCACUGGCUCGAUACUGACGCUGAGGUGCGAAAGCGUGGGGAGCAAACAGGAUU